rnacentral:rRNA from 1 species
GACGAACCGUGCGAACGUUGUUCGGAUUCACUGGGCUUAAAGGGCGCGUAGGCGGCUUGCCAAGUCAGGGGUGAAAUCUUUCGGCUCAACCGGAAAAGUGCCUUUGAUACUGGCGAGCUAGAGGGAGGUAGGGGUGCGUGGAACUUCUGGUGGAGCGGUGAAAUACGUAGAUAUCGGGAGGAACACCGGUGGCGAAGGCGGUUCUCUGGGCCUUACCUGACGCUGAGGAGCGAAAGCGUGGGGAGCGAACAGG